CGCAGCCGCGGUAAUACGAAGGGGGCUAGCGUUGUUCGGAAUUACUGGGCGUAAAGCGCACGUAGGCGGAUAUUUAAGUCAGGGGUGAAAUCCCGCAGCUCAACUGCGGAACUGCCUUUGAUACUGGGUAUCUUGAGUAUGGAAGAGGUUAGUGGAAUUGCGAGUGUAGAGGUGAAAUUCGUAGAUAUUCGCAGGAACACCAGUGGCGAAGGCGGCUAACUGGUCCAUAACUGACGCUGAGGUGCGAAAGCGUGGGGAGCAAACAGGAUUAGAUACCCCUGUAGUCCCUGUCUCUUAUACA
rnacentral:rRNA from 1 species